rnacentral:rRNA from 1 species
CACGAAGUUAGCCGGGGCUUCUUCUCCGACUACAGUCAUUAUCUUCAUCGGUGAAAGAGCUUUACAACCCUAGGGCCUUCAUCACUCACGCGGCAUGGCUGGAUCAGGCCUGCGCCCAUUGUCCAAUAUUCCCCACUGCUGCCUCCCGUAGGAGUUUGGGCCGUGUCUCAGUCCCAAUGUGGCUGAUCAUCCUCUCAGACCAGCUAUGGAUCGUCGCCUUGGUAGGCCUUUACCCCACCAACUAGCUAAUCCAACGCGGGCUCAUCCAUCUCCGAUAAAUCUUUCCCCAAAAGGGCGUAUACGGUAUUAGCACAAGUUUCCCUGAGUUAUUCCGUAGAGAUGGGUAGAUUCCCAGCGUUACUCACCCGUCUGCCACUCCCCUUGCGGGCGUUCGACUUGCAUGUGUUAAGCCUGCCGCCAGCGUUCGUUCUGUGCCAGGAUCAAACUCU